rnacentral:lncRNA from 1 species
UUUUUUAGCUUGUAGUAGUAAUUUUUGUCAUCGUCGGAGGUCGGUCGGAAACCUCGCCGGAGGUCGGUCGGAAAUCUCACCGGAGGUCGGCCGGAAACUUUUGUAGUAGCUUUUGUAGGCGGUGGUAGUAGCUUUUAUAUCUGGUGGUAGUAGCUUUUUUAGCUGGUAGUAGUAAUUUUUAUCAUCGUCGGAGGUCGGCCAGAAACCUCGUCGGAGGUCAGUCGGAAAUCUCGUCGGAGGUCGGCCGGAAACCUCGCCGGAGGUCCGCUGGAAAUCUCGUCGGAAGUCCGCCGGAGACUGUUCCGAAAUGAGAGUGGUUGUUGACUUUUUAUACUAGUGGCAUUCUUGUAAAUAUAAAGGAGAAAAUCUAAUUUUUUUUGUUGGAUGGCAGUCUGUAAUUAUGUUGAACUUUAAUACUUAAUACAAAACUUUAUUUAAACUUGGGUGAACUUAUGUGGGUAAAAAUGUUUGGGUGGAUCUAUAUGGGAAAAAAUGUCUCAAAGUGAACUUAUAUGUAAUUGGCCCUUUAAUUUUCUGUUUUCAAUCCAAACACCAUAAAAAUCAGUUUGUUAUUUCAUUAAGUUUACCAUGGUUGUCAUAGUAAGUUGUAUUAAUCAAUCCUUAAGGGAACAACCACUUCUAUUCUACAAUUGAUUCGUGCACUUGCGAGUACUGAAUUAAAAUUUCUUGAUCGACCCAAUAUUGAGAUUUGUGCACUUGCAACGACACCAAAAACAUGUUGUAAAUUUUAAUGUAAUACUCGUAAGUGCACAAAUCAAUUGUAGAAUAAAAGUGCAAGUACGAGGUCGUUCCCUCAAUAAUUGAUUAAAACAACUAUGCUAAACUUAAUGAAAUAACAAUAUGAUUUUUAUGGUGUUUGGAUUGAAAAUAGAAAAUUAUAGAUAGAAAAUUGAAAACUAAAAAC